rnacentral:misc_RNA from 1 species
GUGGGAGGGGGCUUGCUCCCGAUGACGGAGUGUCAGCCAAUCCAGUUUUCGCUGACCCACCGCUAUCGGGAGCAAGCCCCCUCCCAC